AUUGAACGCGGGCGGCAGGCUUAACACAUGCAAGUCGAGCGGGGGAAGGUAGCUUGCUACUGGACCUAGCGGCGGACGGGUGAGUAAUGCUUAGGAAUCUGCCUAUUAGUGGGGGACAACAUCUCGAAAGGGAUGCUAAUACCGCAUACGUCCUACGGGAGAAAGCAGGGGAUCUUCGGACCUUGCGCUAAUAGAUGAGCCUAAGUCGGAUUAGCUAGUUGGUGGGGUAAAGGCCUACCAAGGCGACGAUCUGUAGCGGGUCUGAGAGGAUGAUCCGCCACACUGGGACUGAGACACGGCCCAGACUCCUACGGGAGGCAGCAGUGGGGAAUAUUGGACAAUGGGCGCAAGCCUGAUCCAGCCAUGCCGCGUGUGUGAAGAAGGCCUUAUGGUUGUAAAGCACUUUAAGCGAGGAGGAGGCUACUUUAGAUAAUACCUAGAGAUAGUGGACGUUACUCGCAGAAUAAGCACCGGCUAACUCUGUGCCAGCAGCCGCCGUAAGAC
rnacentral:rRNA from 1 species